rnacentral:rRNA from 1 species
CUGGAGGUAUCAGAAGUGCGAAUGCUGACAUAAGUAACGAUAAAGCGGGUGAAAAGCCCGCUCGCCGGAAGACCAAGGGUUCCUGUCCAACGUUAAUCGGGGCAGGGUGAGUCGACCCCUAAGGCGAGGCCGAAAGGCGUAGUCGAUGGGAAACGGGUUAAUAUUCCCGUACUUGGUGUUACUGCGAAGGGGGGACGGAGAAGGCUAUGUUGGCCGGGCGACGGUUGUCCCGGUUUAAGCGUGUAGGUGUGUGUUCCAGGUAAAUCCGGUUCACUUUAACACUGAGGCGUGAUGACGAGGCACUACGGUGCUGAAGCAACAAAUGCCCUGCUUCCAGGAAAAGCCUCUAAGCAUCAGGUAACAUCAAAUCGUACCCCAAACCGACACAGGUGGUCAGGUAGAGAAUACCAAGGCGCUUGAGAGAACUCGGGUGAAGGAACUAGGCAAAAUGGUGCCGUAACUUCGGGAGAAGGCACGCUGACACGUAGGUGAAGUGAUUUACUCAUGGAGCUGAAGUCAGUCGAAGAUACCAGCUGGCUGCAACUGUUUAUUAAAAACACAGCACUGUGCAAACACGAAAGUGGACGUAUACGGUGUGACGCCUGCCCGGUGCCGGAAGGUUAAUUGAUGGGGUCAGCGCAAGCGAAGCUCCUGAUCGAAGCCCCGGUAAACGGCGGCCGUAACUAUAACGGUCCUAAGGUAGCGAAAUUCCUUGUCGGGUAAGUUCCGACCUGCACGAAUGGCGUAAUGAUGGCCAGGCUGUCUCCACCCGAGACUCAGUGAAAUUGAACUCGCUGUGAAGAUGCAGUGUACCCGCGGCAAGACGGAAAGACCCCGUGAACCUUUACUAUAGCUUGACACUGAACAUUGAGCCUUGAUGUGUAGGAUAGGUGGGAGGCUUUGAAGUGUGGACGCCAGUCUGCAUGGAGCCGGCCUUGAAAUACCACCCUUUAAUGUUUGAUGUUCUAACGUGGACCCGUGAUCCGGGUUGCGGACAGUGUCUGGUGGGUAGUUUGACUGGGGCGGUCUCCUCCUAAAGAGUAACGGAGGAGCACGAAGGUUGGCUAAUCCUGGUCGGACAUCAGGAGGUUAGUGCAAUGGCAUAAGCCAGCUUGACUGCGAGCGUGACGGCGCGAGCAGGUGCGAAAGCAGGUCAUAGUGAUCCGGUGGUUCUGAAUGGAAGGGCCAUCGCUCAACGGAUAAAAGGUACUCCGGGGAUAACAGGCUGAUACCGCCCAAGAGUUCAUAUCGACGGCGGUGUUUGGCACCUCGAUGUCGGCUCAUCACAUCCUGGGGCUGAAGUAGGUCCCAAGGGUAUGGCUGUUCGCCAUUUAAAGUGGUACGCGAGCUGGGUUUAGAACGUCGUGAGACAGUUCGGUCCCUAUCUGCCGUGGGCGCUGGAGAACUGAGGGGGGCUGCUCCUAGUACGAGAGGACCGGAGUGGACGCAUCACUGGUGUUCGGGUUGUCAUGCCAAUGGCACUGCCCGGUAGCUAAAUGCGGAAGAGAUAAGUGCUGAAAGCAUCUAAGCACGAAACUUGCCCCGAGAUGAGUUCUCCCUGAGACUUUAGGUCUCCUGAAGGAACGUUGAAGACGACGACGUU